CCCUUAGAUGUUCUGGGCCGCACGCGCGCUACACUGAUGCAUUCAACGAGUCUAAAACCUGCUCUGAUAGGGGUGGGUAAUCUUUUGAAUGUGCAUCGUGAUUGGGAUAGAUGAUUGCAAUUUUUCAUCUUCAACGAGGAAUGCCUAGUAAACGCAAGUCAUCAGCUUGCAUUGAUUACGUCCCUGCCCUUUGUACACACCGCCCGUCGCUCCUACCGAUUGAAUGAUCCGGUGAAUAUCAUGGAUUGAGGAUGCAAGUAGGUUCGCCUAUCUUCAUCUUCGAGAAGUGAAGUAAAUCUUAUCAUUUAGAGGAAGGAGAAGUCGUAACA
rnacentral:rRNA from 1 species